UACGGGGGGGGCAAGCGUUGUUCGGAAUUACUGGGCGUAAAGGGCUCGUAGGCGGCCAACUAAGUCAGACGUGAAAUCCCCAGGCUUAACCUGGGAACUGCGUCUGAUACUGGAUGGCUUGAAUUCGGGAGAGGGAUGCAGAAUUCCAGGUGUAGCGGUGAAAUGCGUAGAUAUCUGGAGGAAUACCGGUGGCGAAGGCGGCAUCCUGGACCGGCAUUGACGCUGAGGCGCGAAAGCCAGGGGAGCAAACGGG
rnacentral:rRNA from 1 species